GUCCUCCUCUCUAAUGGGGGACCAAUCGUGCAGCGGGUCAGGCAUCGUGGACACUGUAGUGGAAAUUACAGGCAGUGAUUUUAAUUCUGUCUCAGUAUGUAUUAACGCCUGCAUUGUGACUGCAUUUGGGUCUCUGUCUCCUCCCCCCUGAAUCGGGAGGAGGAAACAGCAUUUGCCAUCUCUCUUCCACCAACCCGUGAGCCUCAUGAACAGUUUUGUCCUUUAGUCUUUUGCCAAUACCAUGUUUUGCCCACACGAUGGUAGUGCUGAAGCACUCUUCCCAUUCUUUGGAGGAAAGGUGCUGAAGCUUGGCCGUUUCUUCCAUCAAUGCAUCUUCGUAGUGGUUUUUAAGAAUCAGCAUUUUGGUAUAGGCCCAAUAUAGGGCAUGUGUUUUGGCGUUUGGCAACGCCGGUUUGAUAACCUCUGACAGGUGAGGCUGUUCCUGGCUGAUGUAAGGUUGCAAGAGCAACCUCUAGAUCAUCUGUCCUCAUCCUACUUGACCUCUCUGCUGCUUUCGACACUAUGAACCAUCAGAUCCUCCUGUCAACUCUCUCCAGCCUGGGCAUCACUGGAAUGGUUCUGCGCUGGGUGGAAUCCUAUCUCUCUGAUGGAUCCUUCAAGGAAUCAUGGAGGGGAGGUAUUUCUGAAACUCAGCAACUCACAACUGGCAUUCCACAGGGGUCAGUUCUGGGUCCACUCCUCUUUGCUAUCUAC
ensembl:lncRNA